CAAAGGGAGGAGUUCCGCGCAGUAAGCUUUUCAGCUCCUCGGAGAACACUAAAACAUAUUCAGAUGUACUGAUAUUUCUACUGGUCCAAAAGAAAAAAGAAAAACCUCAAGAAACAAACCUCCACAACCCACACACAACUCCAAAGUGAUAAAUGGGUAUACUCGUGGAGCAAAAGAAGAGGUGCUCCUUCAGACAAGGAGAUGUUUCCGGUUCUGAGGAGUGGAAAACAACCUGGAUACGAUUCAUAAGAUACAUGGAUAACAUUGUCAGGCACAAAGGAUCAAGAUUAAGUUGCAAUUCUAAAAGGAUUUAUUGCUCAAGCCUAUACACAAAAAUCUACUCAACCAAAGUUCAAUACCAAAUAAGGGAUCUAGUCCAUCGUGACAAGCCACCAUGGUCAUGAGCUGGGAGAUGGUGCUAGUCUGGCAUCCCACUAGUAGCUGCCUGGAGAGCCCAGUGCAACCCACAACUCAGACUCUCCUUCCUUUGUAGCAGUCUUCACUGCCUGCAAACCCCAUUUCUCACCUUCAGACUAGAACAGGGAGAACAGGAUCAGGCACAAUGGUAAGUUUGCAGCAACAAUGUCAAAGAAAUCAUUGGCAAGGUGUCACCUUGAGUUGCUCUGAGAGAGAUCAGCAGUAUCUAAAUUUGAUAAACAAACAAAUAAAUAAAAACAAAUUUCACUCUAUAUCCAUAUCUGGAAAUGGACAGUUUUCUGUAUGUGUAUUGUUCCUACUGGAUAAAAUAAAUACACUUGCAUGUCUUGUACUAUUGCAUUACGUUGUAUUUAUUCUACACAGAUUAUAUACAGUUGUCUGUAUAAUCACCCAUUGAUUUGACUUAGGAGAGUGAAAAAUAAAAAUACUUAUUUACUAAAAAUGUAUAUAUAUGAAAUUAAUGUAAAGUAUGUAAAUUAAUUAUUUACUAUGAGCCAAAAAAAGAAUUAUGGACUGGCUGUCACUUCUCUUCCUGACUAAAACUUUAAUCCAAUGAGCUAUAUAUUCUAUUCAAAGCUAUCUAUCACUGAUCUUUAGAUCUUUCAGUGUAAACAAACCAGUGUAGGAUUUCUUAUCACAGCCUAUGUGUGAGAUCUGCCUUAACAAGGGACACAGACAUGUAGACUUCUUAGGCAGGGUCAGUGGUGGGAUUCAGCCAGUUCGCACCUCUUUGGCAGAACCAGUAGUUAAUUUUUUGUUGCCCAAGCCCAGAAUGGACUUCCGGAAGUGGCAUCCACACAGAGAACCAGUUGUUCACAUAUUUGAAUCCUACCACUGGGCAGGGGAAUGUCUUCAAUUAAUCUGGAACAUUUAUUCAUUUAUUUA